rnacentral:rRNA from 1 species
UACGUAGGAUCCGAGCGUUGUCCGGAUUUACUGGGUGUAAAGGGUGCGCAGGCGGAAUGGUAAGUCAGAGGUGAAAUCUCGCCGCUCAACGGCGAAACUGCCUUUGAUACUAUCAUUCUUGAAUCCGGUAGAGAUCUGUGGAAUUCCGAGUGUAGCAGUGAAAUGUGUAGAUAUUCGGAAGAACACCCGUGGCGAAGGCGGCUCUCUGGGACGGUACUGACGCUGAGACGCGAAAGCGUGGGGAGCGAACAGG